rnacentral:rRNA from 1 species
UACCGGCUGCUCGAGUGAUGGCCACUAUUACUGGGUUUAAAGCGUCCGUAGCUUGACUGUUAGGUCUCUUGGGAAAUCUUCACGCUCAACGUGAAGGCGUCUAAGAGAUACCGGCAGUCUUGGAACUGGGAGAGGUAAACCGUACUUCGGGGGUAGGAGUGAAAUCUUGUAAUCCUCGAGGGACGACCUAUGGCGAAGGCAGUUUACCAGAACAGCUUCGACAGUGAGGGACGAAAGCUGGGGGA